GUGGGGAAUCUUAGACAAUGGGGGCAACCCUGAUCUAGCCAUGCCGCGUGAGUGAUGAAGGCCUUAGGGUCGUAAAGCUCUUUCGCUGGGGAAGAUAAUGACGGUACCCAGUAAAGAAACCCCGGCUAACUCCGUGCCAGCAGCCGCGGUAAUACGGAGGGGGUUAGCGUUGUUCGGAAUUACUGGGCGUAAAGCGCGCGUAGGCGGAUUGGAAAGUUGGGGGUGAAAUCCCGGGGCUCAACCCUGGAAUGGCCUUCAAAACUCCCAGUCUUGAGGUCGAGAGAGGUGAGUGGAAUUCCGAGUGUGGAGGUGAAAUUCGUAUAUAUUCGGAGGAACACCAGUGGCGAAGGCGGCUCACUGGCUCGAUACUGACGCUGAGGUGCGAAAGCGUGGGGAGCAAACAGGAUUAGAAACCCCAGUAGUCC
rnacentral:rRNA from 1 species